rnacentral:rRNA from 1 species
ACGAACGCUGGCGGCAUGCCUAACACAUGCAAGUCGAACGCCUGUAGCAAUACAGGAGUGGCGCACGGGUGAGUAACACGUAGGAAUCUACCCAGUAGCCUGGAAUAACCGCGGGAAGCUGCGGCUAAUACCGGAUACGCCCCCCGGGGGAAAGGAGCAAUCCACUAUUGGAGGAGCCUGCGUCCGAUUAGCUAGUUGGCGGGGUAAUGGCCCACCAAGGCGAUGAUCGGUAGCUGGUCUGAGAGGACGACCAGCCACACUGGGACUGAGACACGGCCCAGACUCCUACGGGAGGCAGCAGUGGGGAAUAUUGGACAAUGGGGGAAACCCUGAUCCAGCAAUGCCGCGUGGAUGAUGAAGGCCUUCGGGUUGUAAAGUCCUUUUGGCGGGGACGAUGAUGACGGUACCCGCCGAAUAGGCCCCGGCUAACUUCGU